AUGAACGCUGGCGGCGUGCCUCAUACAUGCAAGUCGAGCGAACAGACGAGGAGCUUGCUCCUCUGACGUUAGCGGCGGACGGGUGAGUAACACGUGGAUAACCUACCUAUAAGACUGGGAUAACUUCGGGAAACCGGAGCUAAUACCGGAUAAUAUAUUGAACCGCAUGGUUCAAUAGUGAAAGACGGUUUUGCUGUCACUUAUAGAUGGAUCCGCGCCGCAUUAGCUAGUUGGUAAGGUAACGGCUUACCAAGGCAACGAUGCGUAGCCGACCUGAGAGGGUGAUCGGCCACACUGGAACUGAGACACGGUCCAGACUCCUACGGGAGGCAGCAGUAGGGAAUCUUCCGCAAUGGGCGAAAGCCUGACGGGGCAACGCCGCGUGAGUGAUGAAGGUCUUCGGAUCGUAAAACUCUGUUAUUAGGGAAGAACAAAUGUGUAAGUAACUAUGCACGUCUUGACGGUACCUAAUCAGAAAGCCACGGCUAACUACGUG
rnacentral:rRNA from 1 species